AUUGCUUCUUGGCCUUUUGGCUAAGAUCAAGUGUAGAACCUGACAACUCUACCUAGUAAAGUAUUGAAAAAUACCUGUACUAUCACUACUAUUUAACUCACAUGUGAAGAUUUUGAUUUAAUUGGCCUAUGGGAGGUCCUGAGCCAAGUGUUUAUCUUAAAUGUUUCCCUGGUGCUAGUUAAUACAUGAUCAGGAUUA